rnacentral:rRNA from 1 species
CACCACAACAGGCGGAGCCUGCGGUUUAAUCGGACUCAAACGCCGGGAAACUCACCAGAUAAGACAGCUGAAUGAUAGUCGGGCUGAAGACUCUACUUGACUAGCUGAGAGGAGGUGCAUGGCCGUCGUCAGUUCGUACUGUGAAGCAUCCUGUUAAGUCAGGCAACGAGCGAGACCCACGCCAACAGUUGCCAGCUCGUCCUCCGGGAUGGUGGGGACACUGUUGGGACCGCCUCUGCUAAAGAGGAGGAAGGAAUGGGCAACGGUAGGUCAGCAUGCCCCGAAUUAUCUGGGCUACACGCGGGCUACAAUGGGUGGGACAAUGGGUAUCGACACCGAAAGGUGAAGGCAAUCUCCUAAACCCAUCCGUAGUUCGGAUUGUGGGCUGCAACUCGCCCACAUGAAGCUGGAAUCUGUAGUAAUCGUGUCUCAAAAUGGCACGGUGAAUAUGUCCCUGCUCCUU